rnacentral:rRNA from 1 species
AGCGAACGCUGGCGGCAGGCUUAACACAUGCAAGUCGAGCGCGCACUUCGGUGUCAGCGGCAGACGGGUGAGUAACACGUGGGAACGUACCCUUCGGUUCGGAAUAACGCUGGGAAACUAGCGCUAAUACCGGAUACGCCCUUCUGGGGAAAGGUUUACUGCCGAAGGAUCGGCCCGCGUCUGAUUAGCUAGUUGGUGGGGUAAUGGCCUACCAAGGCGACGAUCAGUAGCUGGUCUGAGAGGAUGGUCAGCCACACUGGGGCUGAGACACGGCCCAGACUCCUACGGGAGGCAGCAGUGGGGGAUAUUGCACAAUGGGCGCAAGCAUGAUCCAGCCAUGCCGCGUGAGUGAUGAAGGCCUUAGGGUUGUAAAGCUCUUUUGUCCGGGACGAUAAUGACGGUACCGAAAGAAUAAGCCCCGGCUAACUUCGUG